rnacentral:rRNA from 1 species
GACGAACGCUGGCGGCGUGCUUAACACAUGCAAGUCGAGCGAAGCAGUUAAGUUGGUUUCUUCGGAUUGAUUCUUAACUGACUGAGCGGCGGACGGGUGAGUAACGCGUGGGUGACCUGCCCCAUACCGGGGGAUAACAGCUGGAAACGGCUGCUAAUACCGCAUAAGCGCACAGAGCUGCAUGGCUCGGUGUGAAAAACUCCGGUGGUAUGGGAUGGGCCCGCGUCUGAUUAGGCAGUUGGCGGGGUAACGGCCCACCAAACCGACGAUCAGUAGCCGGCCUGAGAGGGCGACCGGCCACAUUGGGACUGAGACACGGCCCAAACUCCUACGGGAGGCAGCAGUGGGGAAUAUUGCACAAUGGGGGAAACCCUGAUGCAGCGACGCCGCGUGAGCGAAGAAGUAUUUCGGUAUGUAAAGCUCUAUCAGCAGGGAAGAUAAUGACGGUACCUGACUAAGAAGCCCCGGCUAACUACGUGCCAGCAGCCGCGGUAAUACGUAGGGGGCAAGCGUUAUCCGGAUUUACUGGGUGUAAAGGGAGCGUAGACGGCAAGGCAAGUCUGAUGUGAAAACCCAGGGCUUAACCCUGGGACUGCAUUGGAAACUGUCUGGCUCGAGUGCCGGAGAGGUAAGCGGAAUUCCUAGUGUAGCGGUGAAAUGCGUAGAUAUUAGGAAGAACACCAGUGGCGAAGGCGG